rnacentral:snRNA from 1 species
GUUUUCUCUUCGAAGACAUCUAAUAAAAUUGGAAUGAUACAGAGAAGAUGAGCAUGGCCUUUGCGCAAGGAUGACACACACAAAACGAGAAAUGGUCAAUUUUUUU